CUUUGGCAACCACAUGUCGCAAUCACCACGGAAGCAGGAAUGAGAGCUAGAGCCAGGAACCUGGCUGGAAUUGGAUCCGGCAAUCCAGAGGCAGCACACAUCUCUCCAGAAGGCUUGUGGUGGAAAUGGACAAAAUUAGUAAACACAGGCUUUCUUCGUGAGCUCCUACGGUGUGCUGGAACGGAUCUCAUCCUACAGCAAUCCAAGAACCCAGCCCAUUACUGAAUUAUAACGAGUGGAAAAGAAAUACUAAGAAGACAGUGGGUAACUCUAGCACCAGAGGACGCUCAGCAAAAGGCUGAGCAAGUGUCACUGUGGCCUGUGCUUUCCUGGCAUCUUGUUUUGAGGAUACAG
rnacentral:lncRNA from 1 species